rnacentral:tRNA from 1 species
CUAAGGAUAAGGAAGUACGUUUGGAAGUCUUAUUUAGUUUUGAGAGGUCUUAAAAAAGUAAAGAGAACGUUAAGAAAUCUGUAUGAAAAUAGGAAAGAGACGCAGUGUCAAAAGACACAAGGAAGUUUAUCAUUUUCACUAAGAUUUUAGUUCGAAUACAAUUUAGAUCCAUAAUAUAGUAUGAGUAACAAGAUAAGAAACGUUAACAUAUUAACUGUGGGGCCUUAGCUCAGCUGGGAGAGCGCCUGCUUUGCACGCAGGAGGUCAGCGGUUCGAUCCCGCUAGGCUCCAUAGACAAGGAAGUCUCUAAAAUACGUGAAGUCCAUUGAAAAUUGAAUAUCUAUAUCAAAUUCCACGAUCAUGAAAAUGAUUGUAGAAAAAGUAACAAGAAAUAAACCGAAAAAAAGAUAAACGCGAACAUAUUAAAAAAAAUAAAGAAGGUCGAAAGACUGGAAAUAA